AGCAGCAUGGCUCAGUGGAAAGAGCCCGGGUCUGGGAGACGGAGGUCGUGGGUUCUAAUCCCACCUCUGCCA
rnacentral:tRNA from 1 species